rnacentral:rRNA from 1 species
UACGUAGGGGGCAAGCGUUGUCCGGAUUUAUUGGGCGUAAAGAGCGUGUAGGCGGCCAGAUAGGUCAGCUGUGAAAACUCGAGGCUCAACCUCGAGAUGUCGGCUGAAACCAUCUGGCUAGAGUCCGGAAGAGGAGAAUGGAAUUCCCGGUGUAGCGGUGAAAUGCGCAGAUAUCGGGAGGAACACCUGUGGCGAAGGCGGCUUUCUGGGCCUUACCUGACGCUGAGACGCGAAAGCGUGGGGAGCGAACCGG